GUAGCGGCGAGCGAAACGGAAACAGCCCAAACCAACGAGCUUGCUUGUUGGGGUUGUAGGACUCAGCUGUGGUAGCUGUUGUGAAUAGUUGAAUGACCUGGAAAGGCCAGCUAAAGAGGGUAAAAGCCCCGUAAACGAAAUUGACAACACACCUAUGAGUAUCCUGAGUACGGCGGAACACGAGAAAUUCCGUCGGAAUCCGGGAGGACCAUCUCCCAAGGCUAAAUACUCUCUAGUGACCGAUAGUGAACCAGUACCGUGAGGGAAAGGUGAAAAGCACCCCGGAAGGGGAGUGAAAUAGAACCUGAAACCGUGUGCCUACAAAAAGUCAGAGCCCGUUAAUGGGUGAUGGCGUGCCUUUUGCAGAAUGAACCGGCGAGUUACGAUUGCAUGCGAGGUUAAGCUGAAGAAGCGGAGCCGUAGCGAAAGCGAGUCUGAAUAGGGCGAGUGAGUAUGUAGUUGUAGACCCGAAACCAUGUGACCUACCCAUGUCCAGGUUGAAGGUGUGGUAAAACGCACUGGAGGACCGAACCCACGUACGUUGAAAAGUGCGGGGAUGAGGUGUGGGUAGCGGAGAAAGUCCAAACGAACUUGGAGAUAGC
rnacentral:rRNA from 1 species